rnacentral:rRNA from 1 species
CCUACGGGGGGCAGCAGUGGGGAAUAUUGCGCAAUGGGCGAAAGCCUGACGCAGCGACGCCGCGUGAGGGAUGAAGGUCUUCGGAUCGUAAACCUCUGUCAGCAGGGAAGAACGGUCACUGUGCUAAUACGCCGUGAAUUGACGGUACCUGCAAAGGAAGCACCGGCUAACUCCGUGCCAGCAGCCGCGGUAAUACGGAGGGUGCGAGCGUUAAUCGGAAUUACUGGGCGUAAAGCGCACGGAGGCGGUAUGUCAAGUCAAGGGUGAAAUCCCCGGGCUCAACGUGGGAACUGCCUGUGAAACUGGCAAACUGGAGUGUGGGAGAGGAGAGUAGAAUUCCAGGUGUAGCAGUGAAAUCCGUAGAUAUCUGGAGGAACAUCAGUGGCGAAGGCGACUAUCUGGCACAUAACUGACGCUGAGGUGCGAAAGCGUGGGUAGCAAACAGGAUUAGAUACCCCAGUAGUC